rnacentral:rRNA from 1 species
ACCUGGGAACUGCAUUGGUGACUGGCAGGCUAGAGUAUGGCAGAGGGGGGUAGAAUUCCACGUGUAGCAGUGAAAUGCGUAGAGAUGUGGAGGAAUACCGAUGGCGAAGGCAGCCCCCUGGGCCAAUACUGACGCUCAUGCACGAAAGCGUGGGGAGCAAACAGGAUUAGAUACCCUGGUAGUCCACGCCCUAAACGAUGUCAACUAGUUGUUGGGGAUUCAUUUCCUUAGUAACGUAGCUAACGCGUGAAGUUGACCGCCUGGGGAGUACGGUCGCAAGAUUAAAACUCAAAGGAAUUGACGGGGACCCGCACAAGCGGUGGAUGAUGUGGAUUAAUUCGAUGCAACGCGAAAAACCUUACCUACCCUUGACAUGGUCGGAAUCCCGCUGAGAGG